GUGCGUUUACCAAUGACUAACCGCCAGGUCUUGAGAUGUUGUGACCCCAUCACAGGGUCUGUGUACCUUUGUUAUUGAUAGGAUUGACACAUGUCUGAUAUUCGCACCGGCCAAGUAAAAUGGUUCAACGAGACCAAGGGCUUUGGCUUCAUUGAGCAGUCUCAGGGUCCGGACGUUUUCGUUCACUUCUCUUCCAUCCAGGCCGCCGGUUUCAAGACCCUGGCUGAAGGCCAAAAGGUCCAGUUCACUGUGACCCAAGGCAAAAAAGGCCCGCAGGCUGAGAACGUGACCCUCCUCUGACUACUUAGUCGGUGAAAUAAAAAAGAGGAGUAUGACUCCUCUUUUUUUAU
rnacentral:sRNA from 1 species